rnacentral:rRNA from 1 species
GACGAACGCUGGCGGCGUGCUUAACACAUGCAAGUCGAACGGAAAGGCCCUGCUUUUGUGGGGUGCUCGAGUGGCGAACGGGUGAGUAACACGUGAGUAACCUGCCCUUGACUUUGGGAUAACUUCAGGAAACUGGGGCUAAUACCGGAUAGGAGCUCCUGCUGCAUGGUGGGGGUUGGAAAGUUUCGGCGGUUGGGGAUGGACUCGCGGCUUAUCAGCUUGUUGGUGGGGUAGUGGCUUACCAAGGCUUUGACGGGUAGCCGGCCUGGGAGGGUGACCGGCGACAUUGGGACUGCGAUACGGCCCAGACUCCUACGGGAGGCAGCAGUGGAGAAUAUUGCACAAUGGGCGGAAGCCAGAUGCAGCAACGCCGCGUGCGGGAUGACGGCCUUCGGGUUGUAAACCGCUUUCGCCUGUGACGAAGCGUGAGUGACGGUAAUGGGUAAAGAAGCACCGGCUAACUACGUG